CCAAAAUCCUAGCCUCACUUUUAAACAAUAGCCACCCCGCACCUAUUAUAACUAACUAAAAUAUUCUCACUUUAUAGUAAAGAAGAUUGAAAAACUACACGAAGCGAUAACUAUGUACCGCAAGGGAGAGCUGAAAUAACUGAAACAAACUAAAGCACAAAGCAGUAGAGACCAAAUCUCGUACCUUUUGCAUCAUGAUUUAACUAGUUCAACCAAGCAAAAAGACUUUAAGUUUGACACCCCGAAACUAAGUGAGCUACUUCGAGGCAGCCUACAGGGCGAACCCAUCUCUGUUGCAAAAGAGUGGGAAGACCUCCAAGUAGAGGUGACAGACCUACCGAACUUAGUGAUAGCUGGUUGCUUGCGAAAAGAAUUUCAGUUCCGCCUAAAGCCCUGCCAAUACAAUUAAAUGACACCCAAACUUUAGAGUAACUCAAUCAGGGAACAGCCUGCUUGAAACAGGACACAGCCUCAACCGAUGGGUAAUUAUUCCCCCCCCCCCCCAAGUGGGCCUAAUAGCAGCCACCUUUAAAAACGCGUCAAAGCCUAGUCCACCGCCUAACCACACACCACACCACUAAACCCUCCACUAAUAGCAAGCACUUCUAUACCCAUAUAGAAAAUUUUAUGUUAAAACUAGUAACAAGAAGACAUCCCUUCUCUUAUAUGUGAGUGUAAGCCAGUGAAGAAAGCCCGCUGACAAUUAACAGUUAUUCUACUCAGUGGAAAAACAACAAGAAAACCCCGCUAACCACCCUGUUAACCUAACACAAGAACAUAACAAGAAAGAUUAAAACAAGAGGAAGGAACUCGGCAAAACUAAUCCCGCCUGUUUACCAAAAACAUCGCCUCUUGCACACUUAUAAGAGGUCCAGCCUGCCCAGUGACACACGUUCAACGGCCGCGGUAUCCUGACCGUGCAAAGGUAGCACAAUCACCUGUCCCUUAAAUGGGGACUAGUAUGAACGGCACCACGAGGAUUAAACUGUCUCCCUCUUUUAAUCAGUGAAACUAAUCCCCCUGUGAAAAAGCAGGGAUAAUCAUAUAAGACGAGAAGACCCUAUGGAGCUUUAAACUAAAUAGCAUCUGCUUAGCCCCUCUGACUGAGUUAAUAUCUACUGCAUUUUGUCUAUAAGUUUUUGGUUGGGGUGACCCUGGAGAAAAACUCAUCCUCCACACUGAAAUGAACCUAAAAUUUAAACCUAAAACUACAACUUUACGGAUCAACAAAUUGACAUUAAUUGACCCAAACAUUUGAUCAACGAACCAAGUUACCCUAGGGAUAACAGCGCCAUCCACUUUAAGAGUACAUAUCGACAAGUGGGCUUACGACCUCGAUGUUGGAUCAGGGUACCCCAGUGGUGCAGCCGCUACUAAAGGUUCGUUUGUUCAACGAUUAAAACCCUACGUGAUCUGAGUUCAGACCGGAGUAAUCCAGGUCGGUUUCUAUCUAUAAAGGGCCCUCCCCAGUACGAAAGGAUCGGGAGAGCGUGGCCAAUGACAAACUAAGCCAUCACUAAUAACUCAUGACACACACUCAAUUAUCCCACCUACCCUGAAACUCAAGACAAGAGA
rnacentral:rRNA from 1 species